rnacentral:rRNA from 1 species
AAUGAACGUUGGCGGCGUGGAUUAGGCAUGCAAGUCGAGCGAGAAGAGUUUGGUAGCUUGCUAUUGAACUCGGACAGCGGCGAAAGGGAGAGUAACGCGUAGUUACGUGCCCCAGGGUUCGGAAUAGCCACGGGAAACUGUGGGUAAUGCCGAAUAACAUCUCCGGAUCAAAGGUGUGAUUCCGCCCUGGGAGCGGACUGCGUCCUACUAGCUAGUUGGCGGGGUAAUGGCCCACCAAGGCGACAACGGGUAGCGGGUGUGAGAGCAUGACCCGUCUCACUGGGACUGAGACACUGCCCAGACACCUACGGGUGGCUGCAGUCGAGAAUCUUCGGCAAUGGGCGAAAGCCUGACCGAGCGACGCCGCGUGCGGGAUGAAGGCCCUCGGGUUGUAAACCGCUGUCGUAGGGGAGGAAGGCUCCGUGAAGAACGGGGUUUGACCUAGCCUAGGAGGAAGUACGGGCUAAGUUCGUGCCAGCCGCCGCUGUAA